AAGUCGUAACAAGGUCUCCGUUGGUGAACCUGCGGAAGGAUCAUUACUGAAUUGUCAAACGGGUUGUUGCUGGCCCUCAUAGGGGGCAUGUGCACGCUCUGUUUACACAUCCACUCACACCUGUGCACCCUCUGUAGUUCUAUGGUCUGGGGGACCCUGUCUUCCUUCUGUGGUUCUACGUCUUUACACACACACUGUAAUAAAGUUUUAUGGAAUGUACAUCGCGUCUAACGCAAUACAAUACAACUUUCAGCAACGGAUCUCUUGGCUCUC
rnacentral:misc_RNA from 1 species